UGGGGAAUAUUGGACAAUGGGGGAAACCCUGAUCCAGCGACGCCGCGUGGGUGAAGAAGGCCUGCGGGUUGUAAAGCCCUUUCGGUGGGGAAGAAAAGCCUCGACCUAAUACGUCGGGGUCUUGACGUAACCCACAAAAGAAGCACCGGCUAACUCUGUGCCAGCAGCCGCGGUAAUACAGAGGGUGCGAGCGUUAAUCGGAAUUACUGGGCGUAAAGCGCACGUAGGCGGCUCUGCAAGUCGGGUGUGAAAUCCCCGGGCUCAACCUGGGAACUGCAUUCGAUACUGCAUUGUUAGAGUAUGGGAGAGGGAAGUGGAAUUUCUGGUGUAGCGGUGAAAUGCGUAGAUAUCGGAAGGAACACCAGUGGCGAAAGCGACUUCCUGGACCAAUACUGACGCUCAGGUGCGAAAGCGUGGGGAGCAAACAGGAUUAGAUACCCUGGUAGUCCACGCCAUAAACGAUGAGAACUGGAUGUCGGGAGGGUUAGCCUCUCGGUGUCGUAGCUAACGUCG
rnacentral:rRNA from 1 species